GUCGAGGGGAAACGACAUCGAAAGCUUGCUUUUGAUGGGCGUCGACCGGCGCACGGGUGAGUAACGCGUAUCCAACCUGCCCACCACUUGGGGAUAACCUUGCGAAAGUAAGACUAAUACCCAAUGACGUCUCUAGAAGACAUCUGAAAGAGAUUAAAGAUUUAUCGGUGAUGGAUGGGGAUGCGUCUGAUUAGCUUGUUGGCGGGGUAACGGCCCACCAAGGCAACGAUCAGUAGGGGUUCUGAGAGGAAGGUCCCCCACAUUGGAACUGAGACACGGUCCAAACUCCUACGGGAGGCAGCAGUGAGGAAUAUUGGUCAAUGGACGAGAGUCUGAACCAGCCAAGUAGCGUGCAGGAUGACGGCCCUAUGGGUUGUAAACUGCUUUUAUAAGGGAAUAAAGUGAGUCUCGUGAGACUUUUUGCAUGUACCUUAUGAAUAAGGACCGGCUAAUUCCGUGCCAGCAGCCGCGGUAAUACGGAAGGUCCGGGCGUUAUCCGGAUUUAUUGGGUUUAAAGGGAGCGUAGGCCGGAGAUUAAGCGUGUUGUGAAAUGUAGACGCUCAACGUCUGCACUGCAGCGCGAACUGGUUUCCUUGAGUACGCACAAAGUGGG
rnacentral:rRNA from 1 species